GGGGGGGUGAUUCUUUGGUUAGAGGUCUCUGGACAGAGAGGUGUCUGCAGGAAAACCCUAGUCUUGCCUCCUGAGUACUGGAAGAGCCUUUCUUCUCAUCCAAAGUCCAGAAACAUCUAAGUGGGGAAUAUGAAUAAUUGUAAGCACUGCUGCUGAAUUUGUCAAGUGUGGAUGCAGGCUAGCACCAUUCAAGUGCCAUGAGUCCUCCCAUGCCUUCCCACAAUUCCUGCUGCACACCCGGAGAGGUAAGGCACUUCUCCCCCAAGUCACUAAGAAGGAAUUCCUGAAGCACCACAGCUCACUGAGGCACAAAUUACCCUGGGAUGUGGCUCCAGGAGCCUUAGCGCCACACACGAGCGAGUGCAGUGCCAUGUGGACACAGCAGUGACUGCAGUUUCACAGUGUGGCCAAUCUCAUGCCAGAGGAGUAAGGCAAGUGCAGAAGCUGGAGUGAAGACAGACCCCUGCCAGUAGAGUGUCAACAGCAGUUAAUCUGGAGCCUGAAGAAGGACUGUGGUGCCUAACAAUAGGCGCGGUGGUGUGAAAGCCUGGGCCUGGCACACUUUGCAAAAAUGGAAGCUCCACCUGGACUUUCCUUGGCAGUCUCCCAUCCACGUUCUGAUCGACCCUGCUUGAGAUGGGAGCAAGGAGUAAUUACAAACAAGAUCAACUCUGAUUUUUAAAAGGACAAGGUUUGUGAACAACCUCUCAACUGGAAACCAAAAAUCAUUGUAAUCAAACAAACAAGGAGAAGAAAGCAGACGAUUAGACUCUGGUGGGACUCACUCACCGCAGGUACACCUCCUGUGGCUAGGUCUGGGAAUUAGCUCUCGCUCUGUCUG